AGAGGGGGCAAGCGUUGUUCGGAAUUACUGGGCGUAAAGGGCGCGUAGGCGGCCCGCUAAGUCGAACGUGAAAUCCCCGAGCUCAACUCGGGAACUGCGUCCGAUACUGGCAGGCUUGAAUCCGGGAGAGGGAUGUGGAAUUCCAGGUGUAGCGGUGAAAUGCGUAGAUAUCUGGAGGAACACCGGUGGCGAAGGCGGCAUCCUGGACCGGCAUUGACGCUGAGGCGCGAAAGCCAGGGGAGCAAACGGGAUUAGAUACCCCGGUAGUCCUGGCCCUAAACGAUGAAUGCUUGGUGUGGCGGGUAUCGAUCCCUGCCGUGCCGAAGCUAACGCAUUAAGCAUUCCGCCUGGGGAGUACGGUCGCAAGGCUGAA
rnacentral:rRNA from 1 species